UACGUAGGGGGCAAGCGUUGUCCGGAUUUAUUGGGCGUAAAGAGCGUGUAGGCGGCCAUACAGGUCAGCUGUGAAAACUCGAGGCUCAACCUCGAGACGUCGGUUGAAACCGUAUGGCUAGAGUCCGGAAGAGGAGAGUGGAAUUCCCGGUGUAGCGGUGAAAAUGCGCAGAUAUCGGGAGGAACACCAGUGGCGAAGGCGGCCGCCUGGCCUGUAACUGACGCUGAGACG
rnacentral:rRNA from 1 species